rnacentral:rRNA from 1 species
GACGAACGCUGGCGGCGUGCUUAACACAUGCAAGUCGAACGGAAAGGCCCUGCUUUUGUGGGGUGCUCGAGUGGCGAACGGGUGAGUAACACGUGAGUAACCUGCCCUUGACUUUGGGAUAACUUCAGGAAACUGGGGCUAAUACCGGAUAGUAGCUCCUGCUGCAUGGUGGGGGUUGGAAAGUUUCGGCGGUUGGGGAUGGACUCGCGGCUUAUCAGCUUGUUGGUGGGGUAGUGGCUUACCAAGGCUUUGACGGGUAGCCGGCCUGAGAGGGUGACCGGCCACAUUGGGACUGAGAUACGGCCCAGACUCCUACGGGAGGCAGCAGUGGGGAAUAUUGCACAAUGGGCGGAAGCCUGAUGCAGCAACGCCGCGUGCGGGAUGACGGCCUUCGGGUUGUAAACCGCUUUCGCCUGUGACGAAGCGUGAGUGACGGUAAUGGGUAAAGAAGCACCGGCUAACUACGUG